rnacentral:piRNA from 1 species
UUGUAAGGAAGCUGUUCAUAACA